UAGGGAAUAUUGGGCAAUGGGCGCAAGCCUGACCCAGCCAUGCCGCGUGAAGGCAGAAGGCGCUUCGCGUUGUAAACUUCUUUUGUCGGGGAAUAAGGCACUGAUAACUUCGGUGAUUGAAUGUACUCGACGAAUAAGCACCGGCAAACUACGUGCCAGCAGCCGCGGUAAUACGUAGGGUGCAAGCGUUGUCCGGAUUUACUGGGUUUAAAGGGUGCGUAGGCGGUUGUAUAAGUCAGGGGUGAAAGCACGCAGCUUAACUGUGUAAUUGCCUUUGUUACUGUACGGCUUGAAUAGGGUUGAGGUUGGCGGAAUGUGACAUGUAGCGGUGAAAUGCAUAGAUAUGUCAUAGAACACCGAUUGCGAAGGCAGCUGACUGGGCCUAUAUUGACGCUGAGGCAC
rnacentral:rRNA from 1 species